UCAUUGCUAUCUAUUAUAAGAGCCACCUGG
rnacentral:piRNA from 1 species